CCAAAACUAGCUCAUUUCGUGAAGAAAAAACUAAACAAGUUUAGCCACGACGACAUAAUAUAACGUCCCGUACGCAAUGACGUCACUGGUUACGCUGUGAAACCCAAGUACCGUAAAGGGACAAGCGAUUUUCUUCUGAAGACAGACAUUGAAUCUCUAUUAUGGCACUGCGGAACGUGUGUCGCCUCUUGGCUCAACCUCAGAGAUGUGCAAUUGUUUCUUUCGCACGAGCUCAGGGGACUGCAGCACCUGUUCGAUGGGAUAAAGAGAAGACUGAGAAGGCCAAAUCACCUAAAAUCCAGUUCAACUGGCGUGAUGCUCUGGACCUGGAGGGGCUACUGACAGAGGAGGAGGUCAUGAUCAGAGACUCUUUUAGAACCUACUGCCAAGACAAACUAAUGCCACGCAUCAUUUUAGCAAACAGAAAUGAAGUGUUCCACAGAGAAAUAGUGUCCGAGAUGGGGGAGCUGGGCGUACUGGGUCCAACCAUUAAAGGAUACGGCUGUGCGGGGACAAGCUAUGUGGCCUACGGUUUGAUCGCCAGAGAAGUAGAAAGCGUGGACAGCGGCUACCGUUCAGUCAUGAGUGUGCAGUCGUCGCUGGUCAUGCAUCCCAUCAAUGCCUUUGGCACAGAGGAGCAGAAGCAGAAGUACUUGCCCAAGCUGGCUCGUGGAGAGAUCCUCGGUUGCUUUGGCCUGACAGAGCCAAACCACGGCAGCGACCCAAGCAGCAUGGAGACCAGAGCAAAGUACAACCCGUCCAGCCGCACCUACUCCCUUACAGGCUCCAAGACGUGGAUCACCAACUCCCCAGUGGCGGACAUCGCAGUUGUGUGGGCAAAAUGUGACGAUGGGAAGAUUCGCGGCUUCAUCUUGGAGCGAGGCAUGAAAGGCUUUUCCACCCCGAAGAUUGAGGGAAAGUUCUCCCUGAGAGCGUCCGCUACUGGCAUGAUCAUCAUGGAUGAGGUGGAGGUUCCCGAAGAGAACCUGCUUCCCAGUGUGUCUGGCCUUGGGGGCCCAUUUGGCUGCUUGAACAAUGCUCGCUAUGGCAUUGCAUGGGGAGCUUUUGGAGCAGCAGAGUUCUGUUUCCAUGCAGCUCGUCAGUACACACUAGACAGGAUCCAGUUUGGAGUGCCGCUCGCACGGAAUCAGCUAAUACAGAAAAAGAUGGCUGACAUGUUGACAGAGAUCACCAUUGGCUUGCAGUCCUGUCUGCAGCUGGGAAGACUCAUCGAUGAGAAAAAAGCACAUGGAAACAGCACAAACAUCAUGCUUGAGCACCUUCACAUGAGCGGCCCCAGAGAUGAUCUCCAUGCUGAAGAGGAACAGCUGCGGUAAAGCGCUUGACAUUGCCAGACAGGCUAGAGACAUGCUUGGAGGAAACGGCAUCGCAGAUGAGUACCACAUCAUCCGCCAUGUCUUGAACCUGGAGGCCGUCAACACAUAUGAAGGUACCCAUGAUAUCCAUGCAUUGAUCCUGGGCAGAGCCAUCACUGGGCUGCAGUCCUUCACUGUGGACAAAUAAACCUGAAUUCUUGUCUGCUUUCAACCAAGUGGAGUCUGCUGUCAGAAAUGACAUUUACUGUGCAUGUCAGUUCAGUAAUAUGACUUAUGUCUGUGUGGACUAUAAAGAGGGAUAUUUUUGUAAUUUGAAGGACAGCUUGCUUUCAUCAUAUAUUUUGUUUGAACAAAAUUACUGUGUUAGGAUCUCAUGAUUAGAUUUGCUUUUGGUUACUGAUGAGAUUCAGCUCUCCAAAUCUCAAAUUUUGAAGUAGAACUGUUAGAAUGGUUCUCUCAGACAUGACUUAUUAUGAUGACGCUUCAGCACUUUAUUAGUUCAUGUCCUAGGAUGAUCAUGACUUUGUAUGGUUUGCUAAAGCUCAAUUUUGCAUCAGGGCUUUUGAAUAAAAAGUAUUUAAUUGUUCAAAUAUGUGAAAUGUCUUUUUGGGAUGUGUGUGCAUGAUGGAAGAACCCAAAUCUUAAAUUCUCACUGCAAAGGUAGUUGUGUUUUCACAUUUGUUUGCUAAUUUGAAGGGUUUUAUGUUAUGAGUUUGUUUUUUCUCGUUUGUGUGGGUUUUCUUCGGGUACUUCGUCCCACAUUACCAAAUCAUGCAUCCUAAGAUUAAUUGAAUAUUUUAAACUGUCUAUAGGUGUGAGCGUGAUAUAUUUGUAUUUGUCCUGUGACUGGCUGGCGACCAGUCCUGGGUGUACCCCACCUCACUGCAAAGUCAGCUGAGAUAGACUCAAGCUCAUGGAUGGUUAACAUUGCAAGCUGAUGAAUUUUUUGAAAAUUUAUAAAACAUAUUACAAUAAAUAAAUAAAAUAAUAAAAUAAAAUAUGAUUAUAUUUUAAUUACAAAAUAUGGGGGGCGGGGGGAUGAUGAUCCAAAUAAUGAUUGUUUAGCAUUAUAUUGUAGCAAUCUUUUGUAUUUUUACCGACUCUCUAACUACGAGUCUUUUUAUUUUAGCAGAAUGCAUUACAUGAAAAUGUGCUUAUUUUAGUGUAGACUUUUGAAUAUGAUUUUGAUGAAAGUUCAUAGUUUUAGCACACCCAUCAAGCCAAUGAGGUAAAAGUGAACAAUGUUAUGUAACCAUAUGUAUAAUUUAUUGAAAUAAGUUACUUUGCUAAAACAUGAUGUUAAUUUUUGGGAUACCUAUACUAUAUAUAGUAGAACUUUUACAACCCCAAUUCCAACGAAGUUGGGACGUUGUGUUAAACAUAAAUGAAAACAGAAUACAAUGAUUUCUGGGUGUUGUUGAUAAAUGGCUUUUGCUUUGCAUAGUAGAGUUUCAGGUUGCAGUAAUGGAUGUAAUGCCGAACUAUUCACUUAUUGGUUUUCUGAAGUGUUCCUGAGCCCAUGUGAUGAUAUCCUUUACACAUUGAUGUCGGUUUUUGAUGCAGUGCCGCCUGAGAGAUCAAAGGUCACGGGCAUUCAAUGUUGGUUUUCCGCCUUGCCGCUUACAUGCAGUGAUUUCUCCAGAUUCUCUGAACAUUUUGAUGAUAUUAUGGACCGUAGAUGACGAAAUCCCUAAAUUCCUUGCAAUUGUACGUUGAGGAACAUUGUCCGUAAACUAUCGACUAUUUUCUCAUGUACUUGUUCACAAAGAGGUGAACCUAACCCCAUCUUUGCUUGUGAAUGACUGAGCAAUUCAGGGAAACUCGUUUUAUACCCAAUCAUGGCACCCACCUGUUCCCGAUUAGCCUGUUCACCUGUGGGAUGUUCCAAACAGGUGUUUGAUGACCAUUUCUCAACUUUCUCAGUCUUUUUUUGCCACCUGUCCCAUCUUUUUUGGAACGUGUUGCAGCCAUAAAUUUCUAAGUUAAUGAUUAUUUGCUAAAAACAAUAAAGUUUGUCAGUUUGAACAUGAAA